CUGGCUCACAUGUGGUUUGGCAACCUGGUCACCAUGUCCUGGUGGGAUGACCUCUGGCUGAAUGAAGGCUUCGCCAGUUACGUGGAGAACCUUGGCGUGGACCACGUAGAGCCGGACUGG
rnacentral:sRNA from 1 species